AGAUUGAACGCUGGCGGCAGGCCUAACACAUGCAAGUCGAGCGGUAGAGAGGUGCUUGCAUCUCUUGAGAGCGGCGGACGGGUGAGUAAUGCCUAGGAAUCUGCCUAGUGGUGGGGGAUAACGUUCGGAAACGGACGCUAAUACCGCAUACGUCCUACGGGAGAAAGCGGGGGACCUUCGGGCCUCGCGCCAUUAGAUGAGCCUAGGUCGAUUAGCUAGUUGUGAGGUAAUGGCUCACCAAGGCGACGAUCCGUAACUGGUCUGAGAGGAUGAUCAGUCACACUGGAACUGAGACACGGUCCAGACCU
rnacentral:rRNA from 1 species